rnacentral:piRNA from 1 species
UGAGAGAUAAGACUCACCAAGAAUGCAAUC